GAUGAACGCUGGCGGCGUGCCUAAUACAUGCAAGUCGAGCGAACAGACGAGGAGCUUGCUCCUCUGACGUUAACGGCGGACGGGUGAGUAACACGUGGAUAACCUACCUAUAAGACUGGGAUAACUUCGGGAAACCGGAGCUAAUACCGGAUAAUAUAUUGAACCGCAUGGUUCAAUAGUGAAAGACGGUUUUGCUGUCACUUAUAGAUGGAUCCGCGCCGCAUUAGCUAGUUGGUAAGGUAACGGCUUACCAAGGCAACGAUGCGUAGCCGACCUGAGAGGGUGAUCGGCCACACUGGAACUGAGACACGGUCCAGACGCCUACGGGAGGCAGCAGUAGGGAAUCUUCCGCAAUGGGCGAAAGCCUGACGGAGCAACGCCGCGUGAGUGAUGAAGGUCUUCGGAUCGUAAAACUCUGUUAUUAGGGAAGAACAAAUGUGUAAGUAACUAUGCACGUCUUGACGGUACCUAAUCAGAAAGCCACGGCUAACUACGUG
rnacentral:rRNA from 1 species